CUUCAUCAUCCAUAUGAGUUUUUUUUCACACUUACCGAUUGUGUAAGUAAAAAAAACAACUGGUGGGAUGGUGGUGGUUGCUUGGUUGGCUAUGAAUAUGAUUUAUUUUCUUUACCGACGGAUAUGAUAUGUUAAAAUAUUAGUAAUAUUUUAAAAAUCUGAAGAGUGACGAGCAGAGACAAAGGAGCAGCUUGCAUAUGGAAAGCCAUUUAAAGAUUCGUUCACCUUACUUACAUCAUGUAUAUAGGGGAAGCCGAUGAAGAACGUUGGUGUGCAGAUAUGCCAGAUCUGUAGUGACAAUGUCGGCAAGACUGUUGACGCUGACCGGUUUGUGGCAUGUGAUGUUUGUGAAUUCCCGGUUUGCAAGCCUUGCUAUGAAUUCGAAAGGAAGGAUGGGAAUCAAUCCUGUCCACAGUACAAGAGGCACAAGGACGAGGAUGAAGCUACCGUUGAGUUAAGCUACCCGCAGAAGGAGAAAAUAUUCAGGGCGGAUGUAUGGCAUCUUACACGUGGCAAAGAGGAUAGGCCUGAGUAUGACAAAGAGGUCUCUCACAAUCAUCUUCCUUGUCUCACUAGUAGACAAGAUACUUGAGGAGAGUUUUCUACUGCUUCACCUGAACGCCUCUCUGUUUCUGAGAUCAAUCAAACGCUGGCUAUGAGCAUACACAUUAUUCAACUUGGAGGGCUCCUUUUUCUUCAAAUUGGGAAACCCCAAGGCUUUCUUCUCUUCUGUCUCGGAUGAAGCAAAGUAAGAUGCAUCACUUGGAGCUCCCUCACCCAGUAAUUGCAAAAUGCUCAAUUCUAGAAAGACAAGUCAAAAUAUGCUCCCAAUCAUCUUGCCCAUCUUCAAUGGCAAUUGAUAUGAUAGCCUGAAUAGCAGAAGAGGUAACGAUAAAAUUAUGAAGAGGUGAAUCACGCAUCUUCUCUCCAUUAAGGGAAGGAGAAGAUUUGCACAAGAGAAACAGACUCGUGAAAACAGGAAACUAAAACAUAUGAUGUAUUUAGAGGUUUGUGAACUUGGCCAUGGAAUUGACAAAUGCAUCUCUUUGCGUAUGCAUACCCUGAUAGGAGUUGGAGAAUUUACAAUAAAAGGAGGAAAAGGAGUAAUGAGAUCAGUGAGAAGAGUGAUCUGCUUAUCAAGAUAAGAAGAUGCAGUUAUAACAGAAUCUGUUAUGGCCGUUACGAUCAGAUCAGUGGAGUGUAGUCUCGUAGUAUAAAGUGUGGAGUUGAGUCAUUUGUAAAGUUGGGCUAAUUGUUGAGUUGUAAUUGGGAAUCUCUGAGGAGAUUGGACUUAGUACUUGUAUUGAGUAUUAAGAGGAAAUAACUGCUGUAACAUGAACGGCAUACCGAAAGCCUCGCAGGCAUUCAACUGCAGCAAGCCUGUCAUCACUAUGUUCAAGUGUAACGCUGAAUGCGGCAAGCAUUGGUCCCCAGCAGACUUCAACCAUAAAACACAAUAUUGCAACAUCUGUGACGACAUGGUAAGCUGAUCUACAGGUCCGGAGAAAAAAACAAGUCAUGAGAUUGAUACUUUGACUGCAAAUCCAAAUCCAUCCCUCCACGGUUUUUCAGCUUCAUCCGCUAAUUUUACAGGUAACCCUACUCGCUCAGCAGAAUACGUACCCGACGCACCUACACG